rnacentral:rRNA from 2 species
GAUGAACGCUAGCUACAGGCUUAACACAUGCAAGUCGAGGGGCAGCAUUGGAGUAGCAAUACUUCAGAUGGCGACCGGCGCACGGGUGAGUAACACGUAUCCAACCUGCCGCUUACUCGGGGAUAGCCUUUCGAAAGAAAGAUUAAUACCCGAUGGUAUAAAGAGUUCGCAUGUUCUCUUUAUUAAAGAAUUUCGGUAAGCGAUGGGGAUGCGUUCCAUUAGAUAGUUGGCGGGGUAACGGCCCACCAAGUCUACGAUGGAUAGGGGUUCUGAGAGGAAGGUCCCCCACAUUGGAACUGAGACACGGUCCAAACUCCUACGGGAGGCAGCAGUGAGGAAUAUUGGUCAAUGGACGAGAGUCUGAACCAGCCAAGUAGCGUGAAGGAUGACUGCCCUAUGGGUUGUAAACUUCUUUUAUAAGGGAAUAAAGUGAGGGACGUGUCCCUUUUUGUAUGUACCUUAUGAAUAAGGAUCGGCUAACUCCGUG